rnacentral:misc_RNA from 1 species
UUGUCUUGCCGCUCCGCGCCGGUCUUCUAUGUGUCGUCGAUUGAGGAGCUUCAGCUAAGACAUUUGCAUCAUUCCUUUUUAUUUUCUUUCUUUUUGAGGUGUCUUGUAAUUAAUUAACUUAAAUUCAAUAGUAGUUUAUAUUAUUCUAGUUCAUAUUCAAAUUCAAAUAACUUUAGUAUUAAUCCAGUUCAUAUUCAAACAACUUUAGUAUUAAUCUAGUUCAUAUUCAUAUACAAAUACAAAUAACUUUAAUAUUAUUCAUAUACAAAUAAUUUUAGUAUUAUUCUAGUUCAUACAGUUUUCUAUUUUCAAUAAUUACAUUUUUUCUAAAAUAUUUUCUAUCUAUAUUUUUCACAAUGUCUGAACCUUCAGUAUCAACUAUGAACAAAGAAUCCGGGAUAAAGGUUUUAAUUGUAAAGCGCAGUUCCAUAAAGGGACAAAUUACUAAAU